rnacentral:lncRNA from 1 species
GGCCUCGUGGCGCGUUGGGGAGGAUUCCCCGGGAGCUGUGUGAAGUGUUUUCCUGCAGUUUAAAAAUAAAGUUUGUUCCUGCUUCAGUGACUCAUGAUUUGUGCCCAGCCAGACUGCGGCAGAAUCAGAUAUCAUUUCAAUUUUUCAGGUAAGAAAUAUGAGAAGCAAAAUAAGUGUCUAGCUUAAAAUAAUGCAGAUUGCAGAAAUUAAAUUUGGGACUCAAACCUACUGGUUAUAGGUUAUAUCAGGGUUUUUUUUUUCCUCUUUACACCAGUGUAUUUACAAACUAAAUUUAAAAUUAAGACACUGUUUCCAAAUGACAUUUUAAUUUAACUCUAAUAUUAAUUAGAUAUGGACAGUGUUAUGCUGGUUGGAGGGCAGAAUUGACCUCUAAGACAUUGUGGCUCUGUGUGAUAGAGUGACAACCAGUGCCCUGCAUCACAAUUAGGCAUUGAAGGCCUGAGAAAUGACCACAGAGAAAAUAGUUCCCUCUCUCUGGAAGUGGAGCUCAUCUGUCAUGCAGUCACUACUUGAACAAAUUCCAUGCCUCUCAAUCACAGCAUUUCCUUUCACACCCUGAAGUUGAACCCAUUUUUGCUGCUAUUUUUACUCUAAAAUAGGAAAGAGAGGAGGGUAUCAUGCACCUUGACAAGUUGCCACCUGACAGACUUCCAGACAGUCUUAUUAAUUUGUGAGAUUGGUAUCUGAAUUUACCAAAGAACACAGGCAAGAUGAAUCUUGGGCAACGUUCAAUGGCAUCCUAAGUAGCUCCCUUUAUAGAGUCAUUCAUUGCUUUGCUGAAAAGGGAUACUUUAGCAAGGGGGCAAAGUCAAGGAGCAGAAAGGCCAUGGGUGGGGGUCUCAAGCCAGUCAGUGAUGUGGUCCCAUGUCUUAUCCCCAGUGACUUUUUCUUUAAGAUUCUAUUUUUUUAAGUUGUUGAUAGACAUUUAUUUUAUUUAUAUACAUGCAGUGCUGAGCUCAAACCCAGUGUCUCACAUAUGCUAGGCAAGUGUUCUACCACUGAGAUAUAACCCCAGCCCCACCCAGUGACUUCUGAACAAGCCAUGGUAUCAUGAAGUUAGCAUGAGCUUGGUAGCUUCCUGUCACAUUACUUACAAACACAACAAUGUUAAACAUUUACAAAACAUUUGUAUUGCUAUUAUUUUUAAUUUUCAGAGUUGGAACUAACCUCUACCAAUUCCUGAAGAAGAAAGACCAAGCAGCCGCUAGUGCCCCAGCUCCUCCCCGAUAUACAUCCUGGGGUGUAAUCAGGUGACUGUGUAUAAAACAGAGAAGUGUACACCUUAGGAGUAAACCCAUUCCAGUCUGUUUUAGUUUUGACUCUCUAUUAUCAGUGACAGGGGCUAAACAACAGCUAUUCCUGCAUCAGACAGGAAGGCAAAGGCCUGAUAGAUAUUCAGCCACAUGGUACAAGGUCAAAUUCUGGCUAUUCAAUUUUUGUCCAAAUUUUAAAAUUUUAUCUUCUGUGUUCUUUUCUUUCAAGUUUUUGAUCUCUGCUCAGUAUUGCAUUCUAAGUAAUUUGAUCAUAUCAAUCUUCCAAUUCUCUAAUUCCUCCUUCAGGGACAACUGUGUCUAGUCUAGUCUUUUAAAGCAUUUAUUUUUUGGAUUCUCCCCAAGUUAAUAAUGACUAGCUUCAAUCUACUCCAAGAAAAACAAAGUGAAGUCUGUACUAAACAUUUCUUUUUUAUUUCAAAGCAAACAAAACAAAAAGUUGCAGGGUAACAACCUUACUAACAAUCAAAUGAAAUAGAAUUAAAAUAACAAUGUAAUACUUUCUCUUUUUAAGGAAACCAGUCAUUAGUAGUCAAUGCUGGCAAGGAUGUAUGUAAAAUAUUUCUCUCGUAUGCAGGUGUCCUUUAUAAAUUACUAUAAUUGAAAGGAAAGUGAGAAAGUGAGAGAUGGGUGAGCAAGAAAUGAAGGACAGAGACCAGGCAGAGAGCCACACGAAAGUUUGUCAAAGCUGAAAAAUAAAGGUCACCCCUCUAUAGAGUGGAGAGAGGCCCCCCGAGAUGUUUGGGCCUUGAGCUUUUGUGGGGCAGGGGUUUGGAGGUGUGGCUCUGGUGCUGUGGGCCAGGCUCGGGGUGCUUGCAUCAGAUCAAGGUGGGUGGGAAUAGCCUAGGAUUGGAGUAGGUCCAUGGCACCAUGGGGCAUUCCAGAGUCAAGGGGUCCUGUCCUUCUAGGAUUGGCUUAGGGUUAUGGUAUCUUGGGGUAGGUCACUAACGGGGAUGGGGUGAGUUCAAGAGGAAGUACAGGAAAGCGAAACUUAUCUCAUAAGAUGGUGGCUAACAUUUAAGAUGGCUGCCCAGAUGUUAAAAAUCAAGACCCUAUAAUAAGAGAGUAAAAAGCAAUUCUAAAUAUAUAUAAGAAGCUUUACCUGUAAUUUGAGUUUAAGAAACAAAUAAUACAGCUAAUACUUUGGAAAUCACAUUAAGUUAAAUUAUAUAUGGAGUAAAAGUUAUUACUACUAGUAACUAUACUAUUAGUAAUAACUAUUACUAAUCUGUUAGAAAAAUAGAUACUAGUAAUUACUAUAUAAAUUAUAGAUGGAGUAUAAGUUAUUACCAUAAAAUAGAAAAAGAUUUGAACAGUAUACAUAUAUGGGGUGUCGGAUUGAUAGGGUAAUAUUUUUCUUUUUUAUAACUUUUCUUUCUGUACUGGAGAUUAAACCCAGGGUCUUGCACAUGCUAAGCAAGUGUUCUACCACUGAGCUAUCCCCCAGUUCUAUAAUUUUUCUUAUACUACUAUUUUUUAUUGAGGAAAAAUUCACAUAAAAUAGAAUUACACAUUUUUAAUGUGCACAAUUGAGGAGCAUUAAGGAUACUCACAAUGUUGUGCAGCCAUACCCUCUGUGUAGUUCAAAAAUAUUUGACUCCUGUACCCAUUGAUCAGUCUAUCCACACUUCUGCCUCCUCUCCAAUUCCUGACAACCACUAAUCUACUUUCUGUCUCUAUGUAUUUACCUAUUCUGGAUAUUUUGUAUAAAUGGAAUCAUAAAAUAUGUGACAUUUUGUGUAGACCUUUUUUUACUUAUAUGAGGUUAAACCAUGUUGUUUCAUGUAUUAAUAUAUCAUAUCUUUUUUUUUGGCUGAAUACUGUUCCAUUGUAUGGAUAUACCACGGUAUAUUGGUCUAUUUUUUCAUCCAUGGACAUUUAGGUUGUUUCUAACUUUUUGGCUGUAAUAAAUAGUGCUGCUAUGAGCAUUCAUUUUACAAGGUUUUUUUUGGAGAAAUACUUUCAAUUCUUUGGGACCUAUACCUAGGAGUGCUUUUAUAAACAUACAAUUAAUUGUUCAGUGAAGGCAUAUUUAUUGAUUUUUCUGUCUCAGUUUGUGUGCAGCCUCUUAGGAGAACCAUAUAGUAGAAUUUUCCACUAUGACUAUCCUAAAUGAAAGUCAUGGUAAGUAUGUGAGUUUCUGUUUCACGGUGGUCCUAAGGAGUGGGCGCUUAGAUCAAGUGAUGUUCAAAAUGCAGGCCAGGAAGCAUCUGGUGAACCAUGUAGUAGCAACCAGAAAACAAGUCAGUGCUGUUUACUGCUGUUAAUUUUGUAAUAGACUCGUGGAGAUCUGAGAGUCCUUGCAUAAGAUUUAAGGGAAAAAGAGGACUUUUAGGUCUGUGUGGACCUGAAAGUAGACUUCCAUGAACCUUGGAUGGCAGCCUUAGACCUUGUCUGGAGGUGGGGAAUGAGAGGGAGAGAGUGUACUGCCCACUAUCCUGGAAGGCCUUCUCCUCACACAUUGAAGACUCCAAUCUGGCUUGGUGAUUUGAUGGUGACCGAGGCAACUGAUGUUGUAGGGCUUUCAUGGAAGGCUCCGCUGUGUGUGUGUGACAACUUAGGAAUAGUGGACUUUGCAAUGCUCUUGGGAAAAAAAAUAGGUUCUCAUCUGGAAUUUGCUUCUGUUUUCAUCAGAGAGUUGAUCUUUUAAAAAAUAUUUAUUUUUUAGUUUUAGGUGGACACUAUAUUUUUAUUUUUAUGUGGUGCUGAGAAUUGAACACAGUACCUCAUGCAUGCUAGGCGAGCACUCUACCACUGAGCCACAACCCCAGCUCCCCUGAGAGUUGAUCUUAAAGUUAUAAAUAUGGCCUGAAUACCCUCUGACUUUUAUUUCCAGCAAGAAGAAUAAAAUCUCAGGGAAAAGAUUACAAAUGGAGGAAACAAUUCCCUUGAUAAAAUGGAUAGAAAUUCAUUUACAUAUGAUUUUUGACUAUCAGACAUUGAAGCCCAUGAGAACCCCUGGAAAGAUAUUGCAAAGAUAUUGCGGUCAGCCAAAAAAAUACUUGCCUGAGAAAUACUUGUUCCUCUUAAUGGGAAAUGAAGAUUAAUCCCAACUGGGCAUCAAACAUCAGCCAAGUGCUCAGUAAGUAUUGAGACAGAAAAUAUUGCAGGUUUUUAAUCAAAGUUCUUACUGGAUCACAGUGAUGUUCCAGGUUAGCUCAACAUAAAGGUUUCAAUCCAAGGUGAAGAGCCUUUAACGUCUUUUCUACAUUUAGCUUGCUUUAAUUGAAGAGGAGAGCAAAGCCAACAGCUGGUGAGAAUCUGUUCAGCUAUUUUUUUUUCAAUGCAAAGUCAAUUUUGAGCAGUUCUUAUGUCUUUCAAAAGAAAUGGAUUUGGAGCUAGGCACAGUGGUGCACACCUGUAAUCCCAGCAGUUUUGAAAGCUGAGGCAGGAGGAUUGCAAGUUCAAAGACAGCCUCAGCAAUUUAGAGAGGCUCUGAGCAACUUAGUGAGAACCUGUGUCAAGUGAAAAAUUAACAAAAAGGUUGGGGUUGAGGAUGUAUCUCAGGAGUCAAGCACUCUGGGGUUUUUUUAUUCUAAUUAGUUAUAUAUGACAGUAGAAUGCAUUUUGACACAUUGCAUACAAAUGGAACAUAGGUGCUGAGUCACACUGGUAGUAUAAUCAUACAUGUAAAUGGGGUAAUAGUGUCUAUCUCAUUCUACCGUCCUUCCCAUCCCCACCACCCCACCCCUCCCCUCACUCCCUUCUGCACAAUCCAAAGAUCCUUCAUUCUUUCCUAUUCAGCUCCCAACUAUGGAUAAGCAUCCACUAUCAGAGAAAACACUUGUCCUUUGAUUUUGGGGGAUUGGCUUAUUUCACUUCACAUGAUAUUCUCUAGUUCUAUCCAUUUACCUGAAAAUGCCAUAAUUUCUUUCUUUAAGGCUGAGUAAUAUUCAAUUGUGCAUAUGUACCACAAUUUUCUUUAUCCAUUCAUCGUUGAAGGGCACCUAGGUUGGAACUUCCAUAGUUUAGCUAUUGUUAAUUGAGCUGCUAUAAACAUUGAUGUGGCUGUGUCAAUAGAGUAUGCCAAUUUUAAGUCCUUUGGAUAUAAACUGGAGAGUGGGAUAACUAGAUCAAAUGGUGGCUCCAUUCUAAGUUUUCUUAGGAAUCUCCACACUGCUUUGCAGAGUGAUUGCACCAACUUGCAGUCCCACCAGCAAUGUAUGAGUGUGCCUUUUUCUCCACAUCCUUGCCAACAUUUAUUAUUGCUUGUAUUCUCGAUAAUUGUCAUUCUGACUGGAGUGAGAUGAAAUCUUGGAGUAGUUUUGAUUUGCAUUUCUCUAACUGCUAGAGAUGAUGAACAUUUUUUCAUAUUUGUUGAUCAAUUGCAUUUCUUCUUCUGUGAAGUGUCUGUUCAGUCCUUAGCCCAUUUAUUGAUUGGGUUAUUUGGGGGUUUUUUUGUGUUAAUUUUUUUUAGUUCUUUAUGUAUGCUGGAGAAUAGUGCUCCAUCUGAGAGCAUCUCUGAGUUUAAUCCCCAGUACUGAGGUGGAGGGAGAGGGAGAAGGAGGAAGAGAGAGAGAGAGAAGAGGAGAGAAGAGGAGAGGAGAGGAAAGGGGAAAUAUAUGGGGAGUAGUCAAGUGUUUAGUGGUAGCUAAUAGUGAGAUUUCAGCCCCAAAGAAAAGUCAUCCUGCUCUGAACUCAGGUCCUGUUCUUUAAGUAAGCACCAACCUCAACAUUUUAGAUGCAAACGUUUCAGUAUCCCUAAGGCAACUGAGAACUGAGAAAAAUUAUCCUUCCUGAACCUUAGGCUCCGUGAGGUUCCUUCAGACCCCGGUGCCUCUUCCAGACCUUCUCUCGUUAUUCCAUUUGACAGUAGUUUCCCAUUUGAUCCACACUGAUUCUGCAGUUCUGGGUUGAGGAUUCUAAGGCCUCUUCAGGGCUCAGCAGCAAACCGCACCAUAUUUCUGCUGCAGACACGAACAGGAAUUUCUUCCCUGCCCUUUCUGAUUGGCUGGGAAUCCUUGGUUGUUUCCCAUCACUAGGGCAGGCUAGUCCCUUCCCAUUCCCCAACCCUUGUGCCCAGGCCUGCCUAGUUCCUCAGUGGUGGGAUGGAGUAGAAGGAACUUGGGUUCAAACUCAUCUGAACUCAAACCUUAGCUCUGCUACUUAGCUGUGUGACUUUGAUGAAAGAAUGAGUUGAAAUAACAUUAAGCACAGGACUUAGGCUUAGUGGGUGCUCAAUUAAUUAUACCCUUCUUUUACAGCUCAACUUCAGCUUAUUUUGGGGAAGCUAUUUCUGGUUCUCUUAGCUCCCAUGGCCUCCUCCAAAUCCCCCUUUCCUAUGCUCUUUUCCAGCUUUACUGUGAUCUCCGUUUUCCUCAUCCUUCAUCCCAAAUACACUCAGCUAUUUGUCUUCCUUAUCUCUGUAUCUCAAGCAGCUAACACUCUGUCUGGCACGUAUUCAUUGUUCCAGAAUGGUGCUUGCUGAUAAGUGCUUCUAAACUUCUGAUCCCUACCCACCUGCCUUAACAAGUUAAGAUAGUCCUACUUGAGUGAUGGAAGCCAUCCGUUCAUAAGGCUUCUUCAACAGUGUCAAGGGCAAUGUCAGCUCUAGCCGCCUCUGCUUUUCCCAAACUGAAGUGAGCUAGCAACACAGGAUGUGAAGGGAGACUUCAUGGUUUCCAGACCAUGAAACUACAGAAGAACUCUUUCAAAUCACCAUAUGGCUGGUGGAGCCCAAUGCACCCAGUGAUGAGCACCAUGGUGACACCCGUGGUGAUACACUGCACCAGGCGGCCUACUGAGUCAUGGAGUCAGGAGAUGAUAAGACUUCCGGUGCUGCUGGGAUGAGACUCCUAAUGAGGUUUAGGGAAUGAUGUUUCCAUCCAGCUGCUCUCAGGCAAUGUGAAUCCUGUGUUAAAGCCUUAACCCUCCUAAAUUAGACCUCAAGGGCUUACAUUUGGCAUUGGGUGAUCUUAUAAAGAAAGCCACAGACCAUUCUCUAUGCCAAACCUCAGUAUUGGGAAUUAAGCAGGAAAUUCCUUAAUAUAUUUGCUGUAAGUUCCAUGCUGUAUGCACCCCCACCCCUAUUGUCUUUCCCUGUUCUCCCUUUAGUGGAGAGGGUUUCUUUUAGCAUAUUAGACACCCAAAUUUUUCUAUGGGAAGUGGUUGGUUUCAGCCAGGAAGAGGCUGGUUUAUGUGGCAGGUUACCUGACUUAUGUGUCAGAGCUACCUGAAGCAUUGCAAACAGGAACCCAGUGGAAAGGAAUUGUGGGGAGCCCUGAAAGCUGGCACUUACUGGCUCUAGCCCACAACAAUGACAGGCUGAAGGACCCUGGGGAAAUGAUCAUGGAGAAGGUAGGAGGAUCAGGGGCCAAAGAGAAGGGGCUUCUGUCUGCUCACAUGGUAUUGAGUUGGCAUCUGCUGAGAAGCAUCCCAAAAGGAAGAUAAAGAAAUAUCUAUACCAGUCUUUGAAGACCACAUGAAUUUCUGAGAAGCCAUGAAUAAUAUUGUAUUCUUAGGGUUAAACUAAGAGCAUCUACCCCUGUUUUAGUUAGCUUUUAUUUUUGCUCUGACUAAAAGUACCCAACAGAACAACUGUAGAGGAGGAAAAGUUUAUUUAAGGGCUCACAGUUUCAGAGGUCUCAAUCCAUAGAUAGCAGAUUCUAUUCUUCAGGGUUCAAGGUGAGUCUGAACAUUGUGCGAAAGAGUGUGGCAAAAGAAAGCAGCUCCCAUUAUGAUCAGAAAACAGAGAGAGAGAAACUCCACUCUCCAGAUACAAAAUAUAUACCCCAUAGCCAUGCUCCCCAUGCCCCACCUCCUCCAGCCACCCCCACCUGCCUCCUGUUCCCCCUUAGUUAACCCCAUCAGGGAUUAAUUCACUGAUUAGGUUAAGUGUGUAACCCAAUCAUUUCUCCUCCAAACUUUCUUGCAUUGUCUCACCUGUGAGCUUUUGGGGGACACCACAGCUAAACCGUGACAACCCCAUCUUUCUCCACUUAGAAAGAAUUAGACAGGCAUAUCUAAUUAAAAAUUUUUAAAAAGGACAGAGGACUGGGCUGAACUGCAUGGAGAGUCUUUUUCUUAACCUUGUCAUAACAAUAACUUUGACUACAAGCCAGGUGUUGGUCUGCAUUUCAUAUUUUAACUCAUUUAAUUCUGUAAGUCUUAUCAUUUUAUUCCAGUACAGCUGAGGAAACUGAGGCACCGAAGGAUGAAGUGAGUGGACCAAGGUGGCAUGAGUUCAUGGUGGCAGAGCUGAGCCUGUGAAGGCAGGCUGUCAAGGGCAGGGCCUGUGCCCCUCACAGUGAGGGCACACUGCUUCUGCUCAGGCAUCAAGGCCUCUUCCAAACACCUCCUAACCCUGACUGGGCUCAGGUGUAUCUAUUAAUUAUUUCUGGGAUGGUCUAUGAGACACUUAGGGCAUGAACCUCUUUUCUUAAUAAGUUUUGCAUGCCCUGGUAUCCAGUUUGACAUAGAGACACAAAGCUAGUAUUAGUAAGUGCUUAAAAAAUGAAAUUAAUAAAUGAUUAUAUGCAGGGUUAUGGGAGAAAACUGGGGCUGUAUGGGGCAUAAUUGAAUAUUUGUAAAAUAGUCAUUAAUAUUUAUUGAUCACUUAGUAUGUCCCCAGCAGUGUGCUGAGGCGUAUUCAUGAAUUAUCUAUUAGGUCAUUAGUACAAACUUGUGAGGUGGUUCUCAUUUUAUCCCACUAUACACAUGAGGAAAGUAAGACUUAGAUUGACUUACUCAAGUUCACACUGUCAUGCUGUUAGUAAUCUGGAGAGUUAGGAUCCCAACUGCCAUUUGUCUAAUGCCCAAAUCUGUGAUCUUCAUCUUCACAGUCAUUUUCUGUGUUCAAAUCCUGGCCCAAAAGGUCUAACCUUGCACACUUGUCUUGGGAACAUUGAAGAAGCUUUGAACUCAGUUUUAGGAAGUCUCCCUAAAACAGUGUUGCAUAGGGUUGUAUUGAAAAGGCUCUGCUUUCCUCUGGUGGUCACAUUGCUAGCACUACCAGCUGAAUUAUAAUGGCCUCUUGCCUCAAGGCUCUAGGUACCUUUCUGUCCACAGGAGGAAGGAAUUUACUUAAAUUUGUUUUUACAAAUGAGGAAAUUGAGCCGGGCGUAGUGGUGCACGCCUGUAAUCUCAGCAGCUCAGGAGGCUGAGACAGGAGGAUUGCGAGUUCAAAGGCAGCCUCAGCAAUUUAGCAAGGCACUAAGCAACUCAGUGAGACUCUGUCUCUAAAUAAAAUACAAAAUAGGGCUGUGGAUGUGGCUCAGUGGUUGAGGGCCCCUGAGUUCAAUUUUCAGUACCAAAAAAAAAACAAACAGAUGAGGAAACUGAGGCCCAGAGAGGUUCGUUAACUUGCCUAGGAAUCCACCCUUAGUAAGGGACAGACUGGUAUUUAGUCCCAUGCAGUCUGGUUCCAGUGCCUAUGCUGUCAACCUCUGCUGCAAACCUGACUCACUGACUCUUGGUGUUGGGUCAGGCCACACCUCUGCCUAGAGUUUCCGAAUUCUUUAAUUAGCUUAGGUCUUCAAAGGCCAAGGCUAUGGGCUUGAUCUCUGAUAGCAGCAGUCUGAACCUUAAUCCUGGCCAGAUGUCCUGCAAACAACCCACAGAUCUAGGCCUGUGGUUACCAAGGAGACCAGGUGGGAGAGUGGGGAUGGACCAGUGCCAGUCAGCAGUUCCACAGGGAAAACUGUGCUUCCAACAAUAGGUCAGAACUCGCUUCUCCAUGACAUUAAAAUACCCAUGGAAACAUGUUAGCUAAACAAUCUGGCUCGCUUGCAUCUCCCUAUGCUAAGACUGUCCCCAACUGGCUUUGUAUGAACAGAAUGUUGGCUCCUACAUCCGUGAUUUGUUGAAAGGGUCAAAUUCCACUCUGGCUGUUUCAUCAAAAGAGUAAAUACUAUAUGUUUAGAUAUUUGAUGUGCUCAGAUUGAGUUUGGGAGGUUUGUAGCAAGGCCUAGAGUCAUGGGGAAUGGUAGAUCUGCCAGGGGCUUUAGGGAAUCAAAGUCUAGCCCCCUCUCACUAUACAGAUAAGGGAAGCCAGAUUGUCAGCGGGCAUGCACAUGGCUAAUGGUGGCAGAACCAGGACAGGACCUCCCAUCUGCCACUAACAGCCUGUCAGAGACAGUAAAAUUACCUUUCCCCAAACUCUUUGGAAAUUUAUUUUGGCUUCAUAGGCAAUGCUUGGGCAUCAAAAAGAGCUAGCUAUUUCAUUACUUGGGAAGGAAGGAGGUCAUACUCUCAGGGUAGUAGCAUGUCUAGAGCUAAACUGAGGUGAAAAUUUGUUAAGCUUUCUGACCAGUUUGAUCAAGGUAGCCAACAGGAACUUAUUCUCUCAAAUAUCCAGGUCCUGUAUUUGAAUCAACUUUUUUUUUUUUUACAUUUUAAUUCUAUGUAACUGCAUAUUUCUCUACUGUAUUUGUAUUUUACUGUUUCUUCUGGGAAAAAAAUCAUUGAAAUGAUUUUAAACGUAACUAUUGGGAACAACAUCACUAAAUUAUAUGCCAUUCAUCUUUCAUAAAUCCUCAUCCAAAAAACAAGACUGUCACUUUAAAAAUAAAUUUGUCAUUUGGGAUUUCCAUCUGGGAUGGUGUGAGAAUUCUGUAACCAGAUAGUCAUAGUGGUUGUACAACAUCAUGAAUGUAUUUAAUGACACCAAACGGUACACUUUUUAAAUGGCUAAAUGGUAAGUGUUGUGUUAUGUGUAUUUUUCAUCAAUAAAAUAAUGAAACUAAUUGUUGAGUAGAGAAAAAACUCACUUCAGUGGCAAAUAAUAUAUUUCAUUCGUUUAUUCCAUAAAUAUAUAUGGAGUGCCUGCCAUGGGUCAGAUAGGUAUUUGAAAAAUAUUUGAAAGUACUCACUAACUGGAAAUUGGCAUGAAAAUGCCAGAUACACGUCUGUAUCGCUGUUUAUGGAGUGAGUAGGGAUAUCUUCUAUUCACUCCUACACAUCCACUCUUCACUCUGUCUUUGGGGGCUCCUGAAUGGACUAUAGUAAAAGAUUCCCUUACCAUCUGGCUUCCUGUUCGGUUUGGUCAACGGGGGAUGCCAGAAGAAGAGAGGGAGGGAACAGUUUCAGAUAGGGCAUUUAUUCCCUGAACUCCUUCCCUGCUGGGCCAUGUAAAUAGGUUGCAUCUCUCUAUUAUAGAGGCCAAAGCUUCUCUUGCAGCUAUUCUCUCAGAUAUUCAAGAAGUGCCCUCUCUCUGUUCCCAUUCUGGCCUGGGGUGACAAUGGCUGGAAACCACUGCUAGUGCCAGAGUGCUUCAGCAGUCCUUGUUAAUUCCCUUUAGCCCCACUUACACAGCGGUCAACCAUCCUUUUACUAUAUAGUCCUCAGCCAGUUGCAGUGAGUGACCUGCACCUGUAAUCCCAGUGGUUCAGGAGGCUGAGGCAGGAGGAGCGAGAGUUCAAAGCCAGCCUCAGCAAUAUAGCAAGGCCCUAAGCAACUCAGUGAAACCCUACCUGUAAAUAAAAUAUGAAAAAGAACUGGGCAUGUGGCUCAGUGGUUAAGCGCCCCUGGGUUGAAUCCUCACUGCCAAAAUAAAUAGUCCUCAAUUACCCUAGUGAGUGUGCCAUCUAAUUUGCCUAGGAACUCUGACCAAUCCAAGAUAUUAUGCGGUGUUUUCACUUAUAACAGUUAAUCUGAAUUCUCAACCUGAUCGGAUUAAGAGAUACUAGAAGAUGGGUUUACGGGCUGGUCAAUGAGGGUGUGUCUAGGAAUGAUUGGCAUGUGGGAUAGCCAACUGAAAUGGAGACCCUUUCUAAAUGUGGGCAGCACUGUCCAAUAGGAUGAUGGCUUGGAUGGAAUGAAAAUUGGAAGAACAAGGAAGCAGCUGCAAAUGCAAGCUUGAUUCUUCUUGAAGGGGUUCUUGAUUGCUCCUGCCAUUCUCUGAGGAUAUCGGACUUUUGCUUCUUCACUUUUCUAAAGUGGAUUCUCCAGAAACCUUGGGUCUCAGACUAGGGUAGCAAUGUUGAUCCCUCUUGUUCUGGGGCUUCAGCCUCUUGGACUGGGCAGCUACUGGUUCUAACAGUCUGCAGAUGCCCAUUGUGAACUAUCCAGCUUCUGGUCACCUAAACCAACCUAUAAAAAAGUCCCUCUUUUAUAAUUAUACUUCCUGUUGAUUCUGUUCCUGUAGAGGACCCUGACUAAUGCACCUGUGUACCAAAUUGCAUAGCAAAUGGUAGACGUUUUAUCUGCCCCAACUCAUGUUAUCUAUGGCAAUGGCAAGAGCAUAAAGUUUGCCAUGUUUCAGAAAUGCAGAAGUAUUCAAAAUAGAAAGAGCUAAAUUCAAAGACUUUCUAUUUAAGGCUUUGUUUCUAGGCUUUCUUUUUUUUUUUAUCACUUACAGUUCAUGGUUUAAAAGGUGAUUAUAUCUCCAAAUGGGUUAACAUUUAUUUUUUUUAAAAACUCAUUAUUUUAGAAAAAAGUGGAGUACCAAUUAGCAAGAGUUUUGAAGUGUUCAAUAUAUUUUAUUAUAAAACAAGAAGGCACCAUUUCAUCUAGGGACUGCUGAUUGCUUAAAACUAUACUCUUUUGAAUAAACCUAUAUUAGUUUAAUGAAGUUUUCCUGUGAUUAGUAUAAUUUACUGCAGUUGUAUUCAAACCCCAAAUUAUGGGUAUUAUACAGAUGAAAUACGGCUCUGGUUUAGGGCAAUUAAUUUAAUCACUUUCCUGAUGGGCAAUGAAGCAGGGACUCCAUGGAGCAGGACUGCCCACUAGUACAUGAGUGAAGAGGAAAGCGCCUCUCGCUGGUCUGUGAAGGAAAGGUCCUUGCUCCCUCCUGCCUGCCACCACCCUUUCCUCCACCAGCACAUGGCAUUUCGCAACACAGCACCUCAUAUAGUGGCAGCUUGUUUCCAUUAAUUAAUUUCCUCAAGCUGUGUAGCUCAGCCUUCUUCAUCCCUCACCCUGACAUACUGCCUGGUAUCUUCAAGGGUGGUGUUCAUUGCAGAGGGUGCCUGGGCCAAAAGGAAGCUGUGUGGGCUGCUUCUACCCACAAAAGGUGCCUUUCUCUAACUUGCUGAAAUGUGCAACAGCAGCCCUUUGUCACCAUCUCUUGGCUGGUCUCUCCUUCUCCGGCCUUACCCUCUUCUUACUCAUCCUCCUGCUAGAACAAACUUCUAAUGUGGUUUUGCCCAUUGUGUUCCUGCUUAACCACUUCAAUGGCUCCCCAUUCUAGAAAGCAGUGCUUCUCAAACUUGUCCCUUCAGAUGAAUCACCUGGGGUGGGUGGGGGGUGGAUCCUCUUGAAAUGCAGAUGCUCAUUCAGAAGGUCUGGGGUGGGAGCUGAGACUCUGCAUGUCUGAGCAACUCCCAGGUGAGACUGAGGCUGUGGAUCUGCUAAACACUAAAUAGCAAGGCUCUUGGCAGCGUUGUGUCCGUGGUGAGAUGUUCUGCAUCUGCACUGUCCAAUAUAACAGCCAUUAGCCGUUCAAGUGCCUAUUGAGCACUUGAAAUGGGUCUAGUGAAACUGAGGAACCAUAUCUUACAUUUUAUUAAAUUUAAAUAAAUAUGGCUCGUGGCUACGCAUUAGACAGCACAGCUGUGUCAGAUGACAUCCUUGCUUCUCACUGUGACUUACAAAGCCCCCGACCAUCUUUGCCAACAAAGAUGGCACAACAUUACUAAACUUCUGGAAUUUUCUUAACAGGCCAAGUGAUUGUUAUGCGCUUUGGAUGUGCAUUCCCCACACCUGGAAUUCCUUUCUUCAGUUUUGUGACCAAUGAUGUCUCACUCUCUUUCCUGGUCCAGUUGGAGCGCUGCCUCCUCUGUGAGUCUGUUCCCGACAUACUCUGCUGACAGCAAUUAUUUACCAAUGUUAUCUAGGUAGUGCAUGGAAUGCCCUUUGCCCACAGUAUUCCUUUUUUUCCAGUAUUUUUAUUGAUGCAUUAUAAUUAUACACAAUAGUAGGAUUUUUUUGUUACAUAUUCACCCAUCCACAUGACAUAACAAUAGAAUUUGAUCAAUAUCAUUUCCCAAUAUUUCUCCAUUCCAUCUCCUCCUUUCUCCUCCCAGGCCCCUUUCCUCUACUCUACUGGUCUUCUUUCUGUUUUCAUGAGAUAACCCCCAACACACAAACACACACACACACACACACACCUAUUUCCCUUUUUGCCUCUCUAGCUUCUACAUAUGAGAAAAAACAUAUGACUCUUGAUUUUCUGAGUUUGGCUUAUUUUGUUUGCCAUAAUGCUCUCAAGUUCCAUCUAUUUUCCUGAAAAUGACAUAAUUUUAUUUUCCUUUAUGGCUGUAUUUACCAUUGUAUGUAUUUACCACAUUUUCUUUAUCCAUUCAUCCACUGAUGGAUACCAAGUCUGGUUCUGUAGUUUGGCUAUUGAGAAUUGUGCUGCUAGGUGGGCAUGCAGGUAUUGCUAGAAUAUGCUAACUUUGAUUCUUCAGGAUAAAUACUGAGGAGUGGUGUACUUGGGUCAUAUGGUGGUGCCAUUCCUAUCUCUUGAGGAAACAACACUGAUUUCCAUAGUGGUUCGACAAUGCCACCAACAGUGUAAAAGUGUUCCUUUUCCCCACAUCUUCUCCAGCAUUUAUUAUUGUUUGUAUUCUUGAUAAUUGCCAUUCUAACUGGAAUGAGAAGAAAUCUCAGUGUAGUUUUGACUUGCAUUUCCCUAAUUGCUACAAACGUUAAACAUUUUUUUAUAUUUUUGUUGGCCAUUUGUAUUUCUUCUUUUGAGAUGUGUCACUUAGUUCCUUUGCCCAUUUGUUGAUUGCAUUAUUUGGGAGGGACUUUUUAUGUUAAGGUUUUUUGAGUUCUUUUCAUAUUACAGAUAUUAAUCCCAUGUCAGAAGAGUAGGUAGCAAGAUUUUCUCCCAUUCUGUAGGUGCACUUUUAAUAUUCUUAAUAUUUUCCUUUGCUGUGUAUAGCCUUUUAAUUAGAUGAUAUCUCAUUUGUUAAUUCUUGGGAUUAUUUCCCAAGCUUUAGGAGUCCUUCUAAGGAGUCCUUCUAAGGAAACUGUGUCUAUAUAUUGGAGUUUUGAGUAUGUUUUCUUCAAGGAGUUGCAAAAUUUCUGGUCUAAUUCCUAGGUCUUUGAUCCAUUUUGAGUUGAUUUUUGUGCAGGAUGAGAUAGGGUUCUUGUUUCAUUCUUCUACAUAUGGAUAACCAGUUUUCCCAACACCAUUUGUUUUAAAAGGCUGUCUUUUUUCCCAAUUAAUGUAUUUGGCAUCUUUGCAAGUGUCAGAUUAUUGUAUCUGUGUGAGUUUGAAUCUGUGCCUUGUAUUCUGUUCUAUUGGUCUAUGUGUCUAUUCUUAUGCCAGUACCAUGCAGUUUUUGUUACCAUAACUCUGUAGUAUAAUUUGAAGUCAGUAUUGUGAUACCUCCAGGAUGGCUUUUUUUUUCUUAGAAUUGCUUUGGGUAUUCUGGGUUUUUCAUUCUUCCAAAUGAAUUUUAGUUUUUCAUUCUUCCAAAUGAAUUUUCUACUUCUGUGAAGAAUGUCACUGGUAUUUUGAUGGGGAUUGCAUUGGAUCCAUAUAUUGUUUUUUGGUAAUAUGGUCAUUUUAACAAUAUUAAGUCUGCCUAUCCAUGAACAAGUUUCACACUGUAUUUCACUCAGUCUGCACAUUAAGCUUGGUAUAUGGAAAUGGAAGCUUCAAGUAGCUAGCCUUGGGUCACAGAAACAGAAAAUAGAAAAUCAUAUAUUCAACCCAAUAUCUGUCUGAUUCUGAAGUCUAUUCCUCUCCCACCACAACUUGGUGUCUUCAUCUUGCACAGGGGACUUGUACAACACAUAACUAUGUGGUAGGGAAAGGAUCUGUCUAUGGUCUCUCUUCUCCAUGGGAUUAUAAAUUCUGAGAGGUCACAGGCUGCAUAUCAUUUAUUUCUGUAACCCUUUAUCAUGAAUGUUUGACAACUGCUGUGGAAAUGUGCUUGUUUCUUCUUUACAACUCUUUGUAAAAUGCUUGAGUGUGGUGACUGUGCUUUAGCUGACUGAUGUGCUUGGUGCUCAACUUGUCCCUAAUAAGAUUUAGAAAGAAUGAAGGAAAGGGGGAAGGGAGGAAGGAUGGAUUAGCCAAAUGAGCACGUUGAUCAUGGACAGCAUCAACAAGGACGUAGUCAGGAACCCAAGGGAAGGAAUUCUUGCUCAAUGACUUUUGAAACAGUCAUUUCCCUUCUCUUCAUAAUUUAGAAUCUUUCCUAUGCUGGGUCACUUUCUAUCUCCUGAAUUACUUGGGAUCACUUAAUUUAAUCUAACAAAUAUUUAACAAAACCACACACACACACACACACACACACACAGUGCUAGUCCUUAAGGGAUAUAGAAAACUAUACAUUGAAUAAGUCAUGUUUCUUACCCUCAAAGUAGCUAAGACUUUUAUGAGACAGACAGAUGGGUACCCAAAUAAUGCUAAGGAGAAAAUAAGGGGAGAGAGUAGGGGAGUGUAAGAAGGGCUAAAUAUGGGAGAAAACUGGAAUGACAAAGUUUUGACAUAUGCUUCUCUUUAGAUCUACCUAAUUAGUAUGACCAAUGUUCCCCUGAAUUAAUAUCUUAAAAGGUAAACUUUAUUGAGAAAAUGAGAAAAUGGGAAUACUGCCAGCAGGACCCAGGAAUAUAAAUUGGCGUGACCUUUACAAGGGAAGUUUAGAAUACUGUUCAAAUUAUUUAAAAACAUGCAUGCCCUUUGUUCCAGCAAUUCUACCUGUUGGCAUUUAUCCUAAGAUAAUCAUCACGGCUAUAUACUGAGUCUUAUCAGCAGAGUUGACUGUAACACUGUUUAUAAUUAUUAAGAUAUGCAAAAAAGACAAAUUUCCUAAUCCAUAAGCGAUUAAGUAAAUUUCUCCAAAUCCAUAGGAUUGAACACUAUUUAAUUAUCAAAAGUGAUACAAAAUUAUAUGCACUGAUAUUCAGAAGGACAUCAUUAUAUAUUUUUAAAUGAGAAAAGCAGGCUACAACAUGGAAUGUGCUGUAUGAUUUCCUAACCUGGGGAGAAAUGUGUGAGGGGGUUUCCUAUACAGAUGAAGCAAAGACCCCAGGAAGUCCUCAGAGGUUCUUCCCAUGCUCUCUGGGUGAUGGGAUUAAAUUAUUUUGGGCUUUAUGCUUUGCUUCAGUAUGUUCCAUUUUUAUGACCCCAAAAAUACAUUUUAAAAAAAUAAAGAUAUCACUAUGUUCAGUGGUUCCUUUUUAGGCUGACAUCUAAUUACCAAAUAUCCCCUUGAAGACCCAAGUUGCCUUACAGGAAAUCUAUAGGCGGCCAACUGCUUAGAAAUGUCUCUGGCUUGCAGAAGUCACGCUCUCUCCCAUCAUCAAUCAAUGUCCUCAUUCCUUGAUUUCCAAUAACCAUUAUUUUCCUGACUCUGAUUUCAAACCCAGUCUUGGUGGGAGCCCUCUCACCUUUGCCAAGCUUCUCUUGAUCAAUGUCCUCUGUCCCAGGGUGGCCCAUCUGCAACGAAAGUGAACCUCAUGGUGCUCAAAGGCUGGGGACCCAGGUGUGAAUAUUCAUCCCUGCCCAGUUCCCUCCAUUUGCUGUACCUUUUAACAUACAGUUCCUCAAUCCCUUGUCAUGCUGAUCUCUUUGUCUUCCAUUUUUGCAAGGCCACUGCUGUCUCUCCCUCCUCUGGGGAGGACGGGGUAUCAUACACCCGGCCCUUGUGGAUCAUUCCAUUCACCAGGAGCCCUCCAGUCACACAUGAAAUGUGAAGAAGCAAUUAAGCCUAAUCCGGCACCUAGACAUUAUUUGAUCUGUAAAACAGAUCUUUAAAAGAGAGAAACAAACUAAAGAGUAGCUCCCCAGUUGUUCCAACAAGCACAAGAUAGGUUUUAAAAGGAUUACAUAAAAUCCUUCAAGGAAAGUUCAUGUCAUCAUCCUAAAAAGAUUUCAGAUUGUGUAAGGAAAAAAAUUUAAUAACAAAAUUAGAAAGUGAUUCAGUCCAUUUUUUUUUUCGCCACAUAAGGAAUGUGGAUUAAGCAAUCCGUGUGUGUUUUUAUAAUAUUUUUACAACAGAUCCUGUCUCACUGAUGUCAUUCUGCAUUACAGAGAGAGUGGCAAAGGGAUUCUGGAGGCCACAGAACACCUUGGGCAUGAGGAGAGGGCUGGACAGAGAAAGGACCUAAGAGAAUACUGGGGGGUGGGGACCAGGGUCACCACAACCAAAAUCCAUGAGUACCUUGGCAGGGGAAGCAGCUACUAAGAACUAGUAGACUUGCCAGUUCGGAGAAGAGGCUAAGCUCAGCCUCAGGGCAAGUAGGCCGGAGGCCACGCCUCCACAGUGGGAACAAGCUGCUGACUGGUCAUCCAACAGCCACAGCUUGCCAUCUCUUUGAUCCCAGCUCUCCCCACACUCCUGCCACGCUCUACAGCCCAGCCAGCGCCUCCAGCACCACUACACUACCAUGCCAGCCUCAGCCCAGGGCUGCCCGCAAUGCUCUCUCCCUUCUUCUUUGCCAAGGGACGUACCAGUGCUCACCCUUUGAAGCUCAGGAUAUACCUAUGUCUACAUCUAUGUCCAUGUCUAUCUUUAUCUAGUUUUAUAGGGAGUCAAGAUGUAGUAGUUCUACACACACAUUCACAUUCUCACCACUCAUACUAUUUACUAUAUCCCAGGCACAGGCUUAGGAGCUUAAAAUGGUCAUUUCUUCAGGGCAGUCUCCUCUGAUCACCAUCCAGGCCAGGCAAAGUACCUUGCUGUAAAACCUAUGGUACCAUGUAUCUCCCCGUUGUGUGUUAACUACAGUGUAAGUAGAAAUAUAAACUCCACAAGAGUAAAGGCUCACUGUCACCUCCUCAGCAUUUAGAAUAGAGUUUGGUACCAUAACAGAUGUUUAAUAAUUUUUGUGUGCUGAUUGGAUUCACAUCUAUCUCACAAGCUUGAAGUUAAGUUCUGGAAGCUUAGGUGGCCAGUUUCUAUUCCCAGCUCCGAGUGUAGUCCUGGAACACAGGUUGUAUCCUGCCAAUGUUUAUCAAGUGCAUUGCUGAACUCUCUACUAAGUGCCAGCCAAAUGACUACAGCGAUGAGCAAGGUCCCACCUGGCUCUGUGCAUUUGCAGUUUAGUGUUAAAGAUUACAAGCGGGCUCGCUAGACACUGGAGGACCAUCUCUUCCAGUGUGUGGAUGGCACUGGAAGCCAAAAGGAGUUGGAGAAAUAGAGGUAGAGACUCGAAGAGACAGAGAGACCUGGACCCAAAGGGCAGGCAUCAAGCCUAGUAUAGAGGUGUUGAAGUUAACCCUUGCUUAAAUUAAAUUAUCUUAUUAUUUUGGAGAGGAGAUUGGAAAUAUUGCACAGUGCUUGCAAAAAUUAAAUAAAAACACCCCAUUGCACAAAAUGGAUAUUAUUUAUGACAUUGUUUCUUUACAAGAAAAAGAAGAGCCUGGUUGGAAGGUUUCCGUCCAUAAGCAGGUGUGAGCCUGCAUUUUCUAACUUCAGAAGGACCUCUUAAAAUGUGUCCAGGAUUUUUGUUUAUGUGGAUCCCAGCCUCAGUUUCAUUUCUCAUUAGACUAGGGAGGGAUUCCGCUGCAGGGCUCUCUUUCCUGGUGCCCUGUCUCGCAGUGAGUCGGGCCCGCUGGUUAAUGACGAGCAGUGGAAAGAAUGCCUUUAUAAUAGGAUCAGCACUCACGGACUUUUCUGCCUCCUAAAAGCUAGCCCUGCUCUUGAAAAGCCCUGAUCCUGUGUCCCUGUGGCUGAUUAGAGAAGAGAUGCCCUUCGUUUUGUACCACCUUCCCCACACCUUAGGCCAUUCAGUGACCUAUAUUCUUUCCAAAGAUGUUUGCUGUAUGCCUCUUUGGGCUCCCUGCCUAUUGGAGAGAGAGCCACAGUACUUAAGCUCCUGUGUUUGAGAACAGGCUUUGUUGUCUUCUGACAGAAAGGAAAAAACACAAUCCUCAGCACUGAAGAGCUCAGAAUUUAGUUGAGGAUGUAUAGUGUAUGUACCUGGAGCAAUGAGGGUAUAGUAUGAAUUAAUGUUCUUUUGUUUAUAAGCCAGCUCCACCUCUUAAGUAAGUGAAAAGAAAAUUUAUUGGGUGGAGACGAAGCAAUCACACAACAUUGAAGAAUUUAAUGACCAGGUUGUAGAAUGUAAAGAAUUCAGGGCAACUGCAGGGAUAUUAACGGGAAUAUGGGGACCGUCUCUGUCGAGGUCGUCAUCUAGGGGUUUACAAUAGGGUAAAUGAAGUGAGUGGUAGCAUCAGGAUUAUGGAAAACUUGAAAUUUUUUUUUUUAAAGAGAGAGUGAGAGAGGGAGAGAGAGAGAGAAAGAAUUUUAAUAUUUAUUUUUUAGUUAUCGGCGGACACAACAUCUUUGUAUGUGGUGCUGAGGAUCGAACCCGGGCCGCACGCAUGCCAGGCAAGCGCGCUACCGCUUGAGCCACAUCCCAGCCCGAAAACUUGAAAAUUUACAGAAGAAAAUUAAAACCACCUAGAAGCAAUUACUGAUUCGCUUCUGCUCUACAUCCCUCCAGUCUUUUAGUUCUUCAAGUGUGUGGGCCAGUGUGUGUCUUUCUCACAAAGGGGACAUUGACUUUAUGCUGUUUUAUGGUUGGCUUUUUUCCUUUAAUCUUCUAUAGAAAAAUUUUGAAUUGUCCCUGAAAGUUUUGGGAAAAUAUGAAUUUUAGUGGCUGAGUAGUUUUAUCAUGGGGCUUCACCAUAAUUUAUUUACUUUGGCUGGUUAUUUUAAUCAUUUUCCAUUUUUUUCAUUAUUACCAACUGCACCCUGAAAAAAAAAAGUGUUUCAGCACAUUUUCUGAGUUAUUGUCUGAAUGUCUGAUUAAGGAAAGGGCUUCCACCUAGUAUUUAAGAUAGAAUCAUCACCUGUGAUUUGAACCGCCCAGGAUAAUCGGGAAGUGCUACCCAGGCAGAAUGCUGCUCCACUGGCAGCCGUUUUGUGGGGUGCUCGCUCCUUCCACCCCCGAACAAGAUACCAUUGGGUAACUCUCUGGCUUCUUAAUGUUCUAAAUGGAACAAUUUGGUACUGGAAAGAAAGAGUGGCCCUGAAGCCUGAUCAAUAUCAGGCCAGUUUUUAUUCUUGGUCCCUGGAGAUGAAUCUGUUUUGUGGAGGUUAGGGAGAGUCAACUGAUUGCAAGCUGAUUUUAGGAGAUGGUUCCCUCUGGGUCAUGAGAUGAAGGAGGCAAGUAGGUUCUGGGAAGGAGACUAAAAACCUAGGAGUCCAUCAGAGACCUCAGAGCUUCUUGUUUUUAAUUUUUUUAAAUAUAACAAACAGCAUGUGCCAGUCAGUGUUCUAAGGGUUUUGUAAAUAUUCAGUCACUUAAUUCUCCUACCAAUUCUUUGAAGCAUUAUUAUUAUUUCUUUCAUUUUAUGGCUAGGAAGCCAAGUCACAGAAGUCAGUGUAGAGGGAGAGCUGGCACUUGAACCCAGGAAGACCAGUUCUCUGCAACUCUGCCCUGUGUCCAUGAAUAUAUUAUAGUUCAUACUUGGAAAUCAAAAUGUUUGAAAAAUGCUUGAACACUACCACCAAAGAGUGUCAAGCCAUUAGCCAAUAUGCAGGGCUUUUUUUCUUUUAUUGGACCUGCAACCUGUGGGUGGGGGUUAGGUCUUAAAGCUUUUGCUUUAAUAUUGGGAAACUGGCUCAAACCCUGGCUGGUCAGGGACAUUGUGACAUCUUUGCACAUCUUCCCACCUCCCUUCUAUGUGUGAAAGCCAUGAAUUUGAGUGCAUGGACCCUAGGCCUGAAGGUAUCAGCAUAAUGUACUUCUUUAUCUCAGUGAUGAUUUCAGAGAUUCGGAGAAACCAAGGUCUAAGCCCAACAGCACUUUGCAUUCCCUGAACUACAGGGAUUGGUUCAUAUAGGCUCGGUCUUGCAAAGUGCAGGGUUUUGUUUAAUAGGUGGAGAAGAAAAGAGCUAAAGAGCUUUCUUUUGCCUCUUGCCUACCAUGACCUUCUCGAACCAUGAAUCUCUAUAGGGACUGAGUUCUUUUUUCUUGAACUCACUUUGCUAAAGAAGUAACCAGGUAGAACAUGUCACAGAUGUUUACUGGAAGCUGAGACCAAUGGAGGUGGUUACAUACCAUACAGAACUGCAGAAACACGACAUGAAGUACGAGCUGUUCUUCCAAGGCUAGACCUGAUCCCUGAAAUCUGGUUUUCUCUUCCCCAUCAUCACCAGCCUCCACCAUCAUGCUCAGCUUCCUCUGUUCCCAACAUCUUGAAUCUUCUUUCUUUACCCCCAUUUUCUUGGGCCCCUCUUAUUCACCCUUGUAGCUGCAUUACCAAACCAAGUAUUCUCACACCCUUUGCAAGUUAGUUCGUCCUUCUUUGUCCCCUCCUCCUCCAUGUUUUCUUUCCCACCCCAAUGAAUAAAUCAAGAUAUCAAGAUGUUUUCUAAACAAAAAUUUCUUUACUUCUUAAGCAGAGUUCUACUGUGGCUUCCAGUUUUUAGAAUUGGCACAUGCAUGAAACCCUAGCUACUGGGGAGGUAGAAGCAGGAGGACUGAAAAUUCAAGGCCAGGCUCAGCAACACAGUAAGAUUGUUUCAAAAUAAAAUAAAUAAAUAAAUAAAUAAAUAAAUAAAUAAAUAAAUAAAAAGGUCUGAGAAAAAAGGGGGUAGGAAUGUAACUCAGUUGUAGAGUACCCCUGGAUUCAAUCUCCAGUACCAAUUAAAAAAAAGAAACAAUGCUUUUUGUCUAUAUGAUACUGUUAAACAAAAUAUGAUCUGCUCUGUCACUCAAACAGUCUUCUUCCCUGAUGUCCCAUCCCAUGUCCUAUCAGCCAUGACAUCCUAUUGGCUGCAUGAGAGAAUGCUCUCGGUCUCAGGCUUUCUCCCCGCAGCUCCAUUUCAGGUAAUCAUUGUUUUUCUCUUAGACUGGGGUAUUUAAUCCAUAGACAUUAGUGAAGUUUGUGCUAAUCUUCAAGGGAAAAUAAAAAUAAAGACAACAUAGUAUAUUUUUCCUUAAGUCUAAAUGUUUUAAAAAUAAAGAGCCCAAGACUAGAUAUCCACAUAUGAAAAAUGAAGUUGGAAUGUAUCUUAUGCCACAUACCCUAGUUAAUGCAGAAUGGAUCAAGGACCAAACAUGAGAGCCAAAACUAAAACUCUUGAAAAAAAAAAGUAUUGGGAAAAGUUUCAUGAUGUUGAAUUUGAAUAUGACACCAAAAGCAUAGACAACAAAGGAAAAAAAUAAAUUUCACGUACUUCAUUCAAAUUAAAAACUUUUAUACAUCAAAGGAUGCUAUCAACAGAAUGAAAAGGAAACCCACAACAUGGGAGAAAAUAUCUGCAAAUCGUAUGUCUGAUAAAAGACAUUUAAAGAACUUUGUUAAAUUUAACAACAAGAAAACACACAACUUGGGUUUUUUAAAAGGUGCAAAAGAUUUGAAUAGACAUAUCUCCAAAGAUAUACAAAUGGUCAAUAAGUACAUGAAAAUCGUGCAACAUCACUAAUCAAUAGGCAAAUGUAAAUCAAAACCACAGUGAGAUACCACUUCAAAUCCAUUCAGAAUUACAGCAAUUAUGAAAAAGAAAACCCAGAAAAUAUCAAGUGUUAGUGAGGAUUUGGGAAAAUAGGGACCCUUAUGCAGUACAUGAUCACACACUGUUACUUGUCUUUUUCUCUCUGUUAGACAUGAGCUACCAUAUCCAGCCUGCACUCAACAGCAGGGGAUUGUGCAAGAGAGAACUCCAACCAGCCGGGGUCACUGGGGCCAUAUUGGAGACUGGCUACCAAGUACCUCCUGUGGGCAUUUGACAUUUGUCUACUCCUCACAGUAUUCUUGCCAGCUAUGAAUUAUUUUUGCUAUUUAAAAAAUUGAAAAAUGAAAAACUAAAUACGAUUGUGGCAGCCAUGAAAAUGUUCUGUUCAGAUCUCCUUCAGGAGAACCUUCUGGGAGGUGGGGUAUAGUUGACUCACAGCCACUGCCACUUCUCUGGAAUCAUCUCUGACUUUGCACCGAGGCCUUGCUCCUAGUUAGGGACUGAACACAGCCAGGGUACCAGAGAUGGCCCAUUCCUGUUGGAGUCAGGACUCAUCUAAUUGGCAAUGUUCACGCACGGAUUCCACAUCAGCCUGACUGACCCUCUCUGGAGGUCUAGGUCUCCUCCUCUACAACCCUCCUUUCUUACCACUCAACUUUGACACAGAUGCCAGACCUGACUUGAAGUGCAUGCACGGUUUUGAAGAGGAAGUAUCAUCUGAGACCUACUGCACGAGCUCAGAUUAAUUCAGUAUUACUGGGCUAUAAAUGUAAGUGACACAGCCUUUUCCUCACCAUUUGGGAAGACCAUUUCUGAAGGAGUGCCUUGCGCAGAUGACUUGGAAGUGGAGCUGGUUACAGUUGAUUUAAGGGAUAGUGCCAACAAUUUGUGCUCAAAGGUUUUCUUCAGUCUCUUCUGUUUAUACCCAACAUUUAACUCAUACUGGCUGCUUCCAUUUGAAAUAAUGCAAAAAAAAAAUGUUAAAAUAUAAAACUUACCAAAUUUUACACUAUAAUCAAUGACUAUUAUGAUACCUCAAUAGUCCUGUUAAAAAAAUAUAAAGUCCUAGGGCAGGCAGCAGAGGAGGUGAGGGAGAGGGGAAAUAAUAGGGAAUGAUACUGACCAAAUUAUAUUUUUAUAUUGUGUGUAUGGAUGAAUGUUUAGCAACAGAUCUCACUAUUAUGUAUAAUUAUAAUGCAUCAAUAAAAAUGGGAAAAAUAUAAAGCCCCCACCCACCCCUGCCAAAAAAACAAAACAAAACAAAACAUGGAGUACGUACUAUGUCUCAUCCUGGGGUGGGAGACCUAGUGCCCACUUCCAACACUUCUUCUGCACCUAUCACAUAAUUCACUCCUAGUAGCUAUGUUGGUUGAGAUUUUUUUAUGUGUGCAGCUAUUUCAUAUGAAAUAUUUUUUAAUCUUCCAGACAGGGGGUAGGGGAGAAAUUGAAAUCAUUGCUCUAUUUUCCAAAUAAGUAAAUUUGGGCUAAGUGUUGAAAUAAUUUGCUGAAAGUCAUUCAGCUAAGAAGAAUCAGAGCUCAGAUAUGACUCCAAAGACCUUGCUUGGGCCGUUAAAAUGUAUAGUGCUUGUACCUCCUCCCACUGUGUGUCAUUUAUGAAUGAAAAACUUACUCUAGUGUCUGGUACACAGCAGGCACUCAACAAAUAUUAGUGUUCUUCCUAGAUAACCCUCCAACUGGAAAUCUGUCAGGUAUAAUUUUAUAGUGUUCAGUACCAGUUACUUAGAAAUAACUGAAGCCUUGCUUCAACAUCCUCAUGUAUUAUUCUAUUAACUAAUUCACUUUUAAAACACCUAACAUGUGUCAGGCAUUGUGCUAGCACUAAAGAUAGAGGACUAGUUUUCUGUAGCUGUUAUAACAAAUUACCAUAAACCAGUGGCUUAAAAGAAUAGAAAUUGAUUCUUUCAUAGAUCUGGAAGCCAGAAGUAUGAGCUCAGGGUGAUAUCAGCAGGGCCCACCUCUCUCAGAAGGAUAUAAGGAAUUAUCCUUCCUUUUAUUUUAUUUUAUUUUUGUAUGUGUCUUCUUGUUGUUGUUGUUGUUCUAAUCAGUUAUACCGGACAGCAGAGUGCUCUUUGAUUCAUUGACAUACUCCACUUUUGAUGGGACACGGAAUGGCUUUAUUUGGAGCCAGCUGAGUUCCCACAGGGACUUGCUGAAAAAUUGCCCUUUCACCCCCACAAACACAUACACACUUCCAACUCCCACCAUCUCCUCCAGGUGGCCUGGGAGUACAGAGAGGGAGGUCUCUGUGCAGGAAGCCCACAUCUCUGUAGGGGGUAUGAAACUUACUCCGUAAGUGGGAGGAACUGAAAUAAGCCUCUGCUUAUAAUAAUUUGGGGACUACCAGAAUCUGUCAUAGAAAAUUGCCUCUGGCUCCACCAUACAGGAUUUGGAGCUUCUAGAUGCACAAGAGGUAAGGAACCUGGGAUAAGGCAUUCUCCUUCCCAGUCUUGGGGUGUCAGGGGUACCUGAGGUUCCUGGGAGUCAGUAAGACCCUGCAGAAGGUGCUGUGGUUGUUUUAGCCAGCUUUUUCACUACUAUGACAAAAAGGACCCAACCAGAAUAACUGUAGAGGUGGGAAAGUUUAUUUGGGGGCUCAUGGUUUUAGAGAUCUCAAUCCAUAGACAGCAGACUCCAUUCCUCGGGGCUCAAGAUGAGGCUGAACAUUAUGACAGAAGAGUGUGACACAGGCAAGCAGUUCACAUGAUGAUCAGAAAGCAGAGAGAGAGAGACUCCACUUGCCAGCUCCACAAGCCACAACCCUCAUGCCCCACCUCCUCCAGCCACACCCCACCUGCCUCCAGUUACCACUCAGUUAAUCCCAUCAGGUGAUUAAUUCACUGAUUGGAUUAAGGCUCUCAGAACCCAAUUAUUUCUUCUUUGAACCUUCUUGCAUUGUCUCACAAGUGAGCUUUUGGGGGACACCUCACAUCCAAACCAUAACAGUGGUUUAUGCUAUCUUGCCAGUCUCCACCCACCUGCCCUACAAGGCUGCCAGUGGGGGAGGGAGCCCUCAGCCACAGGUGUCAGAGGUGGGGAUUACCGGCAGAGAGUUGAUGUUCAGAAGCAAAAUGAACCCUGAUCUCCCAUACCAGGGGGAAAGUGAGACCCUCACAGGGCCCUGCAGCGACUCAACAAAUGGGCUUCCCAGGAGAGCCCAUAUUUGGAUGCCUGCCAUCCACAGGGAACAAAUGGCCUGUCAGUGUCAAAUGGAGGAGCUGUGGUGACCAACAGAGAGGAUUAUAGGCUUACAACAAGCAGUCAAGUAAGAUGAUACUCCCUCCCCUUUCUCCUCCUGUCCCCAGUACCAAAGCAGAGCAUGCUGGGAACCAGAGGAAGCCAGACCACCCUCUCAGACCCGGGCAACAGUCUCAACCUUGGCUGCACAUUGGAGUCACCCUGGGAAGUGAAGAGUCUUGAUGUGCCCAGAUACUGGUCUGGAGUAGAAUCUCAGCAUUGAAGUUUUUAAUGAGAAGCCAGGACUGAGAACCGCUUCUCUAAAGCCAAACUAGUCGCCUGUGCUUGGCAGAAUAGGGUGGCCAGAUAUAGCAGAUAAAAAUAAAAGUAUUCUAUGAGACACACAUAGAGUCAAAAUUAUUGUUUAUCUAAAAUCGACAGUUUACCGACGUUCUGUGUUUUAUCUGGCAAUCCUAAGCGGGGAGGAAAAUAUUUGAAAUGGAUAGAAGAUGGAAAUUGGAAAAUGAAGAGGUUGGAGUGUUAAAGAUCAAAAAUAACUGUUUAAUAAUAGAAGGUGACUGAAACAGUGUGGGAUUGGGCUAAUGUGUCACCAAAGGAGCUGCUACCCAAGGGAGAAAUUGGGGAGGAUUUGACAUAAGCAUACUUCAGUAAAAUGAAACCAUUCCAUGUUUAGGCCUCUGGUAUGUUGAGACUCCCAGUAAACCAGUUAUAUCAUUAUGACCAAUAAACUUGUUUGAGAGAUGAGCAAUGGAAGUCUGGAGAACUGAUGUCAUUUGUGUAGGCUCACACAGCUGGAAAGUAACAGGGCCAGGAUUAGAACCCCAGUCAAUUUGAGUUUAUGAAAAGAAAAAAAAAAAAAAAGAAAAAGUUCUUUCUAUGGUACCAUAACCUCCUUUAGAAUUUUUUCUUGAUACUAGUAAUAGUGGACUGAUUCCCUAUAACAGAGCUAACCUGUCCAAAUGACCACCUUUCUGAAGCCAAAGUAGUAGCCUGUCCUUCGGGGACAGUAUCGGGUGGCCAGAUUUAGCAGAUAAAAAUAAAAGUGUUACAUGAGACCUGCUUAGAGUCAAACAUUAUUUGUUCAUCUCAAAUUCUAAUUUUGCUGGGCAUUCUUGUAUUUUAUCUGGCAACCCCAGGAGGGGAAGAAAAAGUAUUUGAAUGGCUAACAUCAUAAAAGGGCAGAGUGUGGAGAAGCCAGGGCUGGGGUUGUGAGUUUUGGACCCGGCAGACGGGCCCCAUGGCUGGCCUUGCUACCAUCUGUAGGUGACAGGGUGAGGGCUGAGCAGGAAACACUUCUGCCUCCUUGUCCUCUCAGUUACUGAGCAGCCAAAUGGCGGUGGCUGCCUGAAUGUUUAUUUGGCGGCAAUCUCUGCCGCUCCAUCAUGAUAUCUACUGCUUAUAUUUCUGUAUUUUAAUUAAAUGUCAUCUCAAC